rnacentral:tRNA from 1 species
UGGGGGGUCGGCUAACGGAAAGCCGGGGGCCUUUGGAGCCUCAGAUCCAGGUUCGAGUCCUGGCCCCCCAGCCA